ensembl:lncRNA
UUUCAGCUCCUCUUCUAGCCAAUCAAUCGAAGAGGGGAGGUGACGUCACUCCACUGCGACUCAUGGCUGUGUGUUGACAGGUGAAGAAAGAUAUCCCGGACAAUUACAGUGGCUGUCUGCAGUAUCACUGGAAUCAUGUGGGAUUAAUUUUCCGUCAAAAUUGUGAAUGAAAUGGCUGGACCAACGGGACGUCCCAAACUCGGUGUGUCUGAGCAGCAACUUAGACAAUUGUCUGAAAUUGGACUGAGUGUACAUUUCAUUUCAAAACUGCUUGGCAUGUCAUCACGAACAGUUGAACGGAGAAUGCAAGAGUUUGGCAUUACAGUGAGGGAGUUCAUUCUUAAACAGCUUACAAGCAGCAGUCAGGCUUGGAUCGGUGUGACUGACAGCGACACAGAGGGGGUGUGGAAAUGGGUGGACAAUACACCACUGACCACUUCGUUCUGGUUGGUGGAGAACCAAAUAAUGCAGGCGAUGAGGACUGUGCCGAGAUUGUGAGUUGGAAGAACAGCUGGAACGACAGAUCAUGCUCUGCAAAUGUACGGUGUAUCUGUGAAAAGAACGUGUUUUUGUUGUAAGGUUAAAAUAACAGAAUGAGCAACAAGAGGG